rnacentral:rRNA from 1 species
CCUACGGGAGGCUGCAGUGGGGAAUAUUGGACAAUGGGCGAAAGCCUGAUCCAGCCAUGCCGCGUGUGUGAAGAAGGCCUUCGGGUUGUAAAGCACUUUCAGUGGGGAAGAAAGCCUUGGGGCUAAUACCCUCGAGGAAGGACAUCACCCACAGAAGAAGCACCGGCUAACUCCGUGCCAGCAGCCGCGGUAAUACGGAGGGUGCGAGCGUUAAUCGGAAUUACUGGGCGUAAAGCGCGCGUAGGCGGUCUGAUAAGCCGGUUGUGAAAGCCCCGGGCUCAACCUGGGAACGGCAUCCGGAACUGUCAGGCUAGAGUGCAGGAGAGGAAGGUAGAAUUCCCGGUGUAGCGGUGAAAUGCGUAGAGAUCGGGAGGAAUACCAGUGGCGAAGGCGGCCUUCUGGACUGACACUGACGCUGAGGUGCGAAAGCGUGGAUAGCAAACAGGAUUAGAUACCCCGGUAGUC